rnacentral:lncRNA from 1 species
UUUAUAUACACGUACCUAUAUUGAGAAGAACCCAUUGAUUUCUGUCCCAAAUAAAAAUGAUACAUUCAAAUGGUUUUAUCACUAUUCCAUAUUUUUAAAGUGUAAAGAUACAAGAUAAACACGCUUACAGUUGAAAGUGGACAAGAAAACACAUGUAUUUCAAAUUGGCAUAAUGUUAACAUAAUUUGCUUACAGGCACCUGAACUCCA